UACGUAGGUGGCAAGCGUUGUCCGGAUUUAUUGGGCUUAAAGGGUGCGUAGGCGGCCCUGUAAGUCAGUGCUGAAAUAUCCCAGCUUAACUGGGAGGGUGGCAUUGAUACUGCGGGGCUAGAGUACAGAUGAGGUAGGCGGAAUUGACGGUGUAGCGGUGAAAUGCUUAGAUAUCAUCAAGAACACCUAUAGCGAAGGCAGCUUACUAGGCUGUAACUGACGCUGAGGCACGAAAGUGUGGGGAUCAAACAGG
rnacentral:rRNA from 1 species